AGCUUAUCCCUCGUACCUUUUGCAUCAUGAUUUAGCUAGUAAUAGUCAAGCAAAAAGCAUUUUAGUUUGACCCCCCGAAACCAAGUGAGCUACUCCAAGACAACCUAAAUCUAGGGUAAACCCGUCUCUGUGGCAAAAGAGUGGGAAGAGCUUUGAGUAGGGGUGACAGACCUACCGAACUUGGUUAUAGCUGGUUGCUUGUAAAAUGAAUAGGAGUUCCGCUUCUUAAAUUCUUACCCCCCUCGAUUUUAUCCCCUAAUAACAGACAGCAGAAUAUCAAGAAAAUUAAGAAAGUUAAUCAAAGGGGGUACAGCCCCUUUGAAACAAGGUACAACUUUUUUAGGAGGGUACAGAUCAUAUUUUACUUAAGGAACUUAUGCCUUGGUGGGCCUAAAAGCAGCCAUCCAACCAGAAAGCGUCAAAGCUCUAACAUUCCUUCCUCCCUAAUACUGAUAACAAGUCUUAGCGCCCUAACCAUAUCAAGCCGCUCCAUCGAAGCAUGGAAGUGAUUAUGCUAAAAUGAGUAAUAAGAGAAUACGUCUCUCUCCCCGCACAU
rnacentral:rRNA from 1 species